rnacentral:rRNA from 1 species
UACGAAGGGGGCUAGCGUUGUUCGGAAUCACUGGGCGUAAAGCGCACGUAGGUGGAUCUUUAAGUCAGGGGUGAAAUCCCGAGGCUCAACCUCGGAACUGCCUUUGAUACUGGGGAUCUCGAGUCCGGGAGAGGUGAGUGGAACUGCGAGUGUAGAGGUGAAAUUCGUAGAUAUUCGCAAGAACACCAGUGGCGAAGGCGGCUCACUGGCCCGGAACUGACGCUGAGGAGCGAAAGUGUGGGGAGCGAACAGG